rnacentral:lncRNA from 1 species
UUCAUAUAAAUGUUCAUAUAAAAUGUUAGGUGCAGUUAUGAGGAAGCAGACAUCUGAUUUUGAAUAACUGCUUUCUGUGGACAUGUUAAAUCUAUAAUGCAAGAGGUUCACGGUGAUUGUAGUAUGUGGGCGUUUUAGAACAAAAGUAAUUCCAACAUUAUCUGGAUGAAUAGACAGUAACAACAAAUGAGCUUAUUUCUAAGCAAGACCUAUAAUUGAGCUGGUGAGUAUUGUUUCCUGACAUGUUUUUGUGACUUUUCUUCAAGUGUAGAGCAAAUAUCCCUGACCCAUAUAUACUGUAUUUUGUGGCAUAUUCAUUUGACACACUUUCUAAAGUGAGUUGGUCUUUUAUAAAUAGCUUUCUGACAAUAAAAAGCUGGUCUUAGGCCUGAUUAUUUGUAAUUUUCCUCAGCGACUUAGAUAAUGGAGCAGAGACUAUGAACAUUGAAUUUAUAGAUAGAUGGCAUCAAAUUGUUAUUUUAAGCACUAGUUUAGAAUUCAAAAUUAUUCUGGCCCAAUGGAAAAGAGAGUUCAAAAUGGAAUGAGUUCAAUUUUGAGAGAAUAUAUGAGAUACGUGACAGAGAAUGGUUAGACAUUAAAUAACAAGAGGAUGAAUACUGAGGGCCAGUGGAAUGGCAGUUAUACCAGUUGGAGAACCUACAUAUGGAUGUUCUCAUACCCCUCCUCAGGGAUGUCACAUAAACUUCCUUUGGAUAACACCAAUUAUUGUGUGCCUACUCCAAGGGUUUGAU